rnacentral:rRNA from 1 species
GAUGAACGCUGGCGGCGUGCCUAAUACAUGCAAGUCGAGCGAACGGACGAGAAGCUUGCUUUUCUGAUGUUAGCGGCGGACGGGUGAGUAACACGUGGAUAACCUACCUAUAAGACUGGGAUAACUUCGGGAAACCGGAGCUAAUACCGGAUAAUAUUUUGAACCGCAUGGUUCAAAAGUGAAAGACGGUCUUGCUGUCACUUAUAGAUGGAUCCGCGCUGCAUUAGCUAGUUGGUAAGGUAACGGCUUACCAAGGCAACGAUACAUAGCCGACCUGAGAGGGUGAUCGGCCACACUGGAACUGAGACACGGUCCAGACUCCUACGGGAGGCAGCAGUAGGGAAUCUUCCGCAAAGGGCGAAAGCCUGACGGAGCAACGCCGCGUGAGUGAUGAAGGUCUUCGGAUCGUAAAACUCUGUUAUUAGGGAAGAACAUAUGUGUAAGUAACUGUGCACAUCUUGACGGUACCUAAUCAGAAAGCCACGGCUAACUACGUG